UAGGGAAUCUUCGGCAAUGGGGGGAACCCUGACCGAGCAACACCGCGUGAGUGAAGAAGGUUUUCGGAUCGUAAAGCUCUGUUGUUAAGGAAGAACGAGUGUGAGAAUGGAAAGUUCAUACUGUGACGGUACUUAACCAGAAAGGGACGGCUAACUACGUGCCAGCAGCCGCGGUAAUACGUAGGUCCCGAGCGUUGUCCGGAUUUAUUGGGCGUAAAGCGAGCGCAGGCGGUUAGAUAAGUCUGAAGUUGAAGGCAGUGGCUCAACCAUUGUAGGCUUUGGAAACUGUUUAACUUGAGUGCAGAAGGGGAGAGUGGAAUUCCAUGUGUAGCGGUGAAAUGCGUAGAUAUAUGGAGGAACACCGGUGGCGAAAGCGGCUCUCUGGUCUGUAACUGACGCUGAGGCUCGAAAGCGUGGGGAGCGAACAGGAUUAGAUACCCUGGUAGUCCACGCCGUAAACGAUGAGUGCUAGGUAUUAGGUCCUUUCCGGGACUUAGUGCCGCAGCUAACGCAUUAAGCACUCCGCCUGGGGAGUACGACCGCAAGGUUG
rnacentral:rRNA from 1 species